UUGACCUCGAAUCAGGUAGGACUACCCGCUGAACUUAAGCAUAUCAUA
rnacentral:rRNA from 1 species